rnacentral:rRNA from 1 species
UACGUAGGUGGCAAGCGUUGUCCGGAUUUACUGGGCGUAAAGGGCGUGCAGGCGGUUUGUUAAGUCUAGGGUGAAAGCUCCCGGCUCAACUGGGAGAGGUCCUUGGAUACUGGCAGACUUGAGGAGAGUAGAGGGAGAGUGGAAUUCCCGGUGUAGUGGUGAUAUGCGUAGAUAUCGGGAGGAACACCAGUGGCGAAGGCGG